rnacentral:rRNA from 1 species
GAGUUUGAUCCUGGCUCAGGAUGAACGCUGGCGGCGUGCUUAACACAUGCAAGUCGAACGGGGAUGCCAUUUUCGAGGUGAUUAGUUUACUAAGAGCCAAGAUGUUGGCAUCUUAGUAGCGGACGGGUGAGUAACGCGUGGGUAACCUGCCUUAUACAGGGGGAUAACACUUAGAAAUAGGUGCUAAUACCGCAUAAGCGCACGGGGCUGCAUGGCCCAGUGUGAAAAACUCCGGUGGUAUAAGAUGGACCCGCGUCUGAUUAGCUUGUUGGCGGGGUAACGGCCCACCAAGGCGACGAUCAGUAGCCGGCCUGAGAGGGUGGACGGCCACAUUGGGACUGAGACACGGCCCAAACUCCUACGGGAGGCAGCAGUGGGGAAUAUUGGACAAUGGGGGGAACCCUGAUCCAGCGACGCCGCGUGAGUGAAGAAGUAUUUCGGUAUGUAAAGCUCUAUCAGCAGGGAAGAAAGAAAUGACGGUACCUGACUAAGAAGCCCCGGCUAACUACGUGCCAGCAGCCGCGGUAAUACGUAGGGGGCAAGCGUUAUCCGGAUUUACUGGGUGUAAAGGGAGCGUAGACGGUUACGCAAGUCUGGAGUGAAAGGCGGGGGCCCAACCCCCGGACUGCUUUGGAAACUGUAUAACUGGAGUGCAGGAGAGGUAAGUGGAAUUCCUAGUGUAGCGGUGAAAUGCGUAGAUAUUAGGAGGAACACCAGUGGCGAAGGCGGCUUACUGGACUGUAACUGACGUUGAGGCUCGAAAGCGUGGGGAGCAAACAGGAUUAGAUACCCUGGUAGUCCACGCCGUAAACGAUGAUCACUAGGUGUCGGUGGGUAUGGGCCCACGGGUGCCGCAGCAAACGCAUUAAGUGAUCCACCUGGG